rnacentral:lncRNA from 1 species
AGUGACAGAAGGCGGGGCUAUAUUCGCACUGAAGCGAUGCGUGUCUGUUAACUCGCUUUCCGAGAGAAGAGAAGACAGCACGCUGAUCAAUUGCAAAUACUUCUAUUUUGUGUUAUUUUGCGGAAAAAAAAAGGUUGUUCUGCAGUUUCUAAAAACAUUUCAAUAAAUAGCCUUUAUAUUAACAUCCACCCAAAAUCCACUUGCCCGUUCGGGCAACCAGAAAUCUCACACACACACACACACACACACACACACACACACACACACACACACACACACACACACACACACACACACACACACACACACACACACACACACACACACACACACACACACACACACACACACACACACACACACACACACACACACACACACACACACACACACACACACACACACACACACACACUAGUGGUGCAACGGUUCACGGGUUUCCCGUGAUCCGUACGGAUCAACCAUCACGGUUCGGGACGCAAGUGAUCCGCGGAUCGGCUGAUAAAAAAAAAAAAAAGUUGUGCGUUGACGUGAUCAGCGCAUGUUUAGAGGACAAUUCCGGUAUUAACAACAUUGAAACGUAAACCGGAACCGGACGUGUUAGGUUUGGUUGUAGUCUUUUCGCUCGGUUCGCUGUAUCAACAGUAGGGCUAGAACCGAGCGAAAAGACUACAACCAACCCCCCUUGCAAUGAGCAAGUCUCCCAACCGAAAUCAAUGGAUUUACAAAAUGCCAAAUAAAACACCACAGAAACUGUAUUUCGCUGCCAAACUAAAAAAAGAAGAUAAGGAUGUCUGCAUUGCCUUGAGAGAGUGUAGACUCUAAACUCUCCCCAGGCAAUGCAGACAUCCUGAAUUGUAAAUCCAGGGUUAGGGAUUAUUUACUAUCCUAUCCAUGUUAAAAAGAAGGAAUAAUGUCUCAGAUUGCAAAUUUUUUAAAUAUUGACGAUGCUUAAAGGAAGCAGGAUUAUUACCUAAUUUUUCACUUCAUUUUGUUUUUACAGAGUUGAAGAUUUUAUUUAAAGUCACAUUUGUCUUCUUAUCUUUAUUGUUGAUCCGACCCGUGACUCAAAAACCGUGACCCGAUCCGAACCGUGAGCUUUGUGAUCCGUUGCAACACACACACACACACACACACACACACACACACACACACACACACACACACACACACACACACACACACACACACACACACACACACACACACACACACACACACACAGGCUGGGGGUUAUUUAUUAAACGAUUAUUCGGGCGAUUAUUUCAUCGAUUAGUCGACUAAUCUAAUGACUAAUUGGAUGAUUAUCUAUUUCUGUUGCUCGAUUAAUAAAAACCAUAAUGUAUCUCAAAUAAAUACCAAAAAAAUCGUAAUAAUAUACUUUAUUUAACAACAGUUUUGCACAGCAAAAAACCUUCUGCUUUACACAAAAUAAAAUAGUUUCACUGUUAUAUAAAAUGAAAGGCCAGCCCGUUUACUCUUUCACAGUACCAACAUAACUCUAGUUCAAAAAAUUCAAAAGUUGUAGUGCAAAAAACACACAUUCCUGAGUGUUUAACACUAUAUAAAAUUCCUGUUUUCAGUGUAACAGUCCCAACAUAAAUCUCUCCUGUACAAAAGAUCAAAAAAAUGCAGUGCAAAAACCAACACUGUACAGUGCACAGUACAGAAAUUCCUGGGUGUCUAAGGUGCACUCACACUAGGCCAUCUGGCAGUGGCCGUUUUCACACCUAACCGUGCUCAAAUCUGCCAGUGUGAGUGUGGCCAGUCUGGCCAGGCCAGGCAAAUUUGGCCACUUGGGAGAGGUGUGCUGCUACGGUACGGGCCGCUACGGUACAGAUGCUAAUGAGCCGACACGCGCACACGCACGGCUACGCAACCUGAGCUGGAUGACGUAUAGUCCAGGCGACGACCACGGACAUAAUAAAGGCGACGAGCCUUCUUUCCCAUUAAAUGGUAAACAUAUAUCCAAAUAAGCAACAGACUCAGCAAAGUGCGAACUGUGUUCUGUGUUGUUGUCCAUUGUCCACGAAAAUCGUCGACGGAUAAAUUUGACGUAGACGAAUUUUUGACGUCGACGCGUCGCUACAGCUCUAAUAUAUACACACACACACACAUAUAUAUACACACACACACACAUAUAUAUACACACACACACACACAGAUAUAUACACACACACACACACACACACAUAUAUAUACACAUAUACACACACACACACACUAGGGAUGCAAAUUAUCGAGUAAUUCAUUAAUCGAUAGUUGUUUCAUCUUAUCGAUCGAUGAUCGAUUACUUGAUAAGCGGCAAUUCUUCUGAGAAGCUGAAUUUCCUUCUGAAUAGGUUCUAUCUACAGUAUACGUAACAUAAAAUGCCCUCUUCCUUAUAAUAAAGAAAAAAUGCAUAUCAUAUUCCUUAAUCAAAGAUUUAUUCAUUUUGGUAGCAUAACAAACCAAAUCAACCAAAUUCAAAAUAUUACAUUGGAACAUUGAACAUGAAAAUAAAUGAGUGCACUGUCUCUUAGCAGCAUAAUAAAAUAAAUUCUGAAAAGUAAAUAAGGUGUCACAUGUGGACUAUUGGCAGCAUUAAUAAUCCCCCUUAAACUGGGAAAUGGGACAAUAUCACAAUAACAUUAGUAACAAAAACCAGGACUGAACUGUCGUAGCUCUAGUCAACCUAAAAUAUAGGCUGCCUGAUGAAAAAAAAACAUCCCCAUUUUCAACUCGGCCUUCUUCCUCGCGUAGCUUGCUUCCACGCGGGGGGGUUAUGGUUGUUCUAGAGGGGAUGUCGUACCCUGGCUCGAUGUACUUUAUUACCUCUCGAAAUCCCUGUCCGUCAACAACAUUUAUCGGCAGCAGGUCUGUAGUAAUCAUGUUACAGAUCCGCUGGGUAAUGCCCUCUGCUUUUGUGGAGUCAAAUACCCUUCGUCCCAACACUGUGGUGAUUGUAGGCUGAGAUUGAGAACCACUCGCUGCUUGUAGCAUGGCUGAAUGUGACACAUUUAGGUGAUAAUUCAACGAAGUCGUGGAGUUGUUGUACUUUAAAAUACUUCCACAUAUUGUGCAUUUGGCGUCUUUGUCGUCAUUAACCAACUUAAAGUGGCUCCAUACUGCACUCCGUUUUGCCCUCUUCAUCGUGUCAGUGUCCCGCUUUUCGUUUGUGUUC